CUGGGUGUUAAUCAGCCGUCACGGGCUACUUCCUGGGGGUGGAGGCCUGGUCGAGGACCGGGCCGCGGGGACACUAAGAAGCCCCGAAAUCAUCUCAAGAUAACCUCAAGAUAACCUCCUUAUUGUAGGGGUAUUUGGGCUGUGCUCACCUUGUAAGACAAUAUGCCAUAUCUAUCUAUGGGUUAAUGUUCACUUUAGAAGUAAGUUGCAGGAAGUAAUUACUUGCAUAGUAGUAGGCAUCCGCCCGUCUCAGGAGACUAUGGACUUCAAUAAAGACGUUGGUAAUAUACGUAGCGUAUUUAGUACUCGCUCAGGCCAUUAAAUAUAUGAAAUAAUAUCUGUUUACAUGACAUUUCAUUCAAGAUACUGAUUCAUUUAAUGCAUAGAACGUAUAGUUUUUUGUUGAGAGUUGACACUUGUUAAUUGUUCAUUAAUUGCUUACGCUUCCCCCGUCCUGGCAAUAACUAUUGUUAGUCUGGAACACUGACUCAAGGCUAAACAUGGGCAUGAGAUUAUAACCUGAGAACAGUUUGUAAUAAGAAUGGGAUUAAUGUCUUGAAAUCCUGUAUGAAAAUAAUCGCUCUGAAUUUAUGAAUAAAUAUGGAAUAUCUCCGUAUAUUCAAGACGUUAUUUAAUGAAACGCUUUUACACUUCAAUUAGCUUGAAUUAUUGACAAAGUUGUGAAAGUUUUUCCCUUUAUGAUGCACAAGAAAUACUUUCUACUUUCAAGUAAGCAUUAAGUAGGCGUUGUCACACGUUGUAGAAGUAGAUCCUAUGGCAACAUUUUGUACUCAUCUUGCACUGGGGUCCUCGAACCAGACUCACCAGUCACUAGAUCUUAUUUAAUAUCUCGCAAAAAAUGCGAUGUAUCUACGAGAAAAUAUUGGAAGCUGUACAAUGGGCUCGAACCUGCGUCCCUGGACGCCUCAAGCACACGUGCUGUACCGACUAGACCAUGAUGGGCUAGAGUACUGAAAUAUGUGUUGGCCAUCAUGGUCCAGUCGGUUAAAUAGAGUUCAUACAGCUUCAAUAUUUUCACUAGAACUUGCACUGAAUAAGGGUCUGCGCUUGGAGAAUCUUGCAAAGGAAUCUUGCGGCUGUGUGCUGGGGGAAUUAAUGAAUGUGAUAAGACACGCAUCUGUAAACACUCCAAUCACUAGGGAUUGGAGUGAUUCUCCAAUCACUAGGGAGUGGAUUAAGGCUGACAACAUCGCUCCCCCAUUACCCCACCCCUGUCAGCCAUUCCCGCCAGCCCGGUAAUGGCCGUGCUGUCCUGUGCCAUAUAUUACUGACACUUUUUGGGAGCAGAUGACCAGUAUAUUUCCUAUUAUAUUCACUCAGGUAUCCAUCAUUCACAUGCAGGCAUUUCAGACCUUACUAUAGGCGGCAUUCCUUGUUCUAGCGGGCCCGGCGUGGCGCCAGCCCGCCCUAGAGGUCUCUUGCGACGCAGCGCCUCGCUGCCGUCGUAGGGGCUUACCUUAUGGGGUGACCUCACGGGGUUACCUCAAGGGUUUACCUCACGGGGUUACCUCAAGGGUUUACCUCGAGGGGUUACCUCACGGGGUUACCUCACGGGGUUACCUCAAGGGGUGACCUCAAGGGGUGACCUCACGGGGUUACCUCGCGGGGUUACCUUACGGGAUUGUCAAGUUUUCACUCAAAUACUUUCAGUCGAGAAAUGUGCAAAUACAGUAUUUUAUAGUAGGUAAUAGAAGUUAAUAUAUUUAUUGAUUAGAUGUAGGGUAGUUUGUGAAAUAAUAAAUAUGUUAUUGGUUAUUAAAUGCCGUGAAAGAUAAGCUGACAAAUAUAUAAUUGUGUGUAUAAUUCAUUAAAGAUUAUUGUUUGUGUGGUGGGAGCUGGCACAGUGUCCCUGGUGUGUGUGUGUGUGUCGUGUAUCCUGUGUGUCCGGUGGGUCGUGUAGCCUGUGUGUCGCACGUUAAGACGUUGCUGUAAGGUAAACGGCCUUAAGACGUUUGCCUUAAAGCCUAUUUGUCCGACGUAACACGUCGUGACAGAUCUACACUUAAGACGUGUAUAGGUCGUGUCCGUGUUCGGAUGUUGUGAUCUGUGGUCCAGUACGUGUGUGUAAUUAUUGUUACAGAUUAUUUAUUUUGGUAUUUUUGUAAUGUGGGAAGCCCAGACCAGAGUUUCUCUCUCUCAUCCUGUCCCAUGUUGACACCUGUCCGUGUUGCUGUGGCCCCCCUGUGCUCACACGCAUCUUGUCCGUCUUCUGUUAUGUAUAAACUGCAAUGCACAUUUUUGUAUCUCUGGGUGCUGUGAGGGGUGGAAAUUUAUGUUUAUUUCUUGUGAGGCGUCAAAGUCAUUUCUCUUUGCACAUGUUUUGUAGGGAAUAUUUAUUUACCGCUUUGUGUGUGUGUGUGUGUGUGUGGCGUAGGAAGAUUUGUGUGUGUUUUUUGUGUGAUGUGUGGAGAAAGUCAACGCCAUGCCUGUCUUGUGUACUGUAGAGAACUUGUGUGUGCUGCUAGGGAUCCUUGUAGAGUUCCUGUCAACUCCGUGCGAUUUUUGUGUAGGUAAUUUGCAUGUAACGUCCGUGCAUUGUCUGGACUUUGAGUGUGAUACAUGUAAGUGUUCUAGGGAAGUAUUUAUGUAUUGCUUGGUUGUUGAGUAGAGAAUAUGUGUAUUCUGCCUUGUGGUCUUGUGGCAGGGACUUUGUGCUCGCCUCGGGCCGAGGUAGCCGCCCUUGUGCUCGCCUCGGGCCGAGGUAGCCGCCCUUGUGCUCGCCUCGGGCCGAGGUAGCCGCCCUUGUGCUCGCCUCGGGCCGAGGUAGCCGCCCUUGUGCUCGCCUCGGGCCGAGGUAGUCGCCCUUGUGAUACAGUCACUGGCCAGGAGAUUGUGCUGCCUACUGUGUAUAGUGAAGGGAGUUUCUUCAUUACUUUCUGCUCAAUUAACGGCUACCGUUAUACACCAUCUUCUUCACUGACAUUCAUCAUGCUCUCGACCAUCAUACACCGCGGGCCCUUUACCUCCAUACACCACGCUUUUCACUGCUGUUCAUGCCUCACAACCAUUCAUCACCAGAGCCACAUAGCUGCCUCCUUCACAGGUGUCUACACAACUGCCUUGUUCACAGGUGUCCACACAGCUGCCCCCCUUACAGGACAGGUGUCCACAGCUGCCCUUACAGGUGUCCAGGACGUCUGGGUUAUACUGAGACAACACUGAUACCAGUAGACAUUCUGGUACCUUCCCCAGACUUAACAACAAAUAAUAUAACCCUAAUAUAUUAUUUACAUAAUUGUUUACAAUAUUAAUGGGGACUGUGCAUGAUUAGAUUUUUGUAAAUGUUUUCAAUGUAAAUUUUUUAUGUACAUAGAAUUAUUUUGAUACAUAUUUCGAAUUUCACUACGUGAAAAUGUGCAGAGUUUUUUUUAUUGUAUAAGUAUAAUAUAUAUAAAUCUUCAAAGAUCA
rnacentral:lncRNA from 1 species